GUGGGGUUGUAGCUCAGUGGUAGAACGCUUGCCUAGCACGUAUGAGACACUGGGUUUGAUCCUCAGCACCACA
rnacentral:tRNA from 1 species